rnacentral:tRNA from 2 species
GCGGGUGUGGUGGAAUUGGUAGACGCGCCGGACUCAAAAUCCGGUUCCGCAAGGAGUGUCGGUUCGAUCCCGACCACCCGCACCA